AGUGGCGGACGGGUGAGUAACGCGUGAGAAUCUGCCUUGGGGUCGGGGACAACCACUGGAAACGGUGGCUAAUACCGGAUAAGCCGAUUGGUGAAAGAUUUAUUGCCCGAAGAGGAGCUCGCGUCUGAUUAGCUAGUUGGUGAGGUAAGAGCUCACCAAGGCAGCGAUCAGUAGCUGGUCUGAGAGGACGAUCAGCCACACUGGGACUGAGACACGGCCCAGACUCCUACGGGAGGCAGCAGUGGGGAAUUUUCCGCAAUGGGCGAAAGCCUGACGGAGCAAGACCGCGUGAGGGAGGAAGGCUCUUGGGUUGUAAACCUCUUUUCUCAGGGAAGAAGCUCUGACGGUACCUGAGGAAUCAGCCUCGGCUAACUCCGUGCCAGCAGCCGCGGUAAUACGGAGGAGGCAAGCGUUAUCCGGAAUUAUUGGGCGUAAAGCGUCCGCAGGUGGCGAUUCAAGUCUGCUGUCAAAGCACGGGGCUUAACUCCGUAAAGGCAGUGGAAACUGAAUAGCUAGAGUGCCGUAGGGGUAGAGGGGAUUCCCGGUGUAGCGGUGAAAUGCGUAGAGAUCGGGAAGAACAUCGGUGGCGAAAGCGCUCUACUGGACGGCAACUGACACUCAGGGACGAAAGCUAGGGGAGCGAAUGGGAUUAGAUACCCC
rnacentral:rRNA from 1 species